CUUAAGUGCAGCCAUGAGUUUCCGUGCCCAACUUUAUCGUUUGUCUUAUUUGAAAUUUUUUUAUGAUUAGUAUUUUUAUUGUUAUUAGAUGAUAAAAUAUGAAUAAUAUUUUAUGUGUGACUAAAUAUUUUCAAUUUUUUUACAAAUUUUUCAAAUAAGACGGACGAUCAAACGUUGGGUGCGGAUAUCCACGGCUGUACUUAUU
rfam:Oryza meridionalis cultivar OR44 (W2112) chromosome 8, whole genome shotgun sequence.